rnacentral:rRNA from 1 species
GAUGAACGCUGGCGGCGUGCCUAAUACAUGCAAGUCGAGCGAAUGGAUUAAGAGCUUGCUCUUAUGAAGUUAGCGGCGGACGGGUGAGUAACACGUGGGUAACCUGCCCAUAAGACUGGGAUAACUCCGGGAAACCGGGGCUAAUACCGGAUAACAUUUUGAACCGCAUGGUUCGAAAUUGAAAGGCGGCUUCGGCUGUCACUUAUGGAUGGACCCGCGUCGCAUUAGCUAGGUGGUGAGGUAACGGCUCACCAAGGCAACGAUGCGGAGCCGACCUGAGAGGGUGAUCGGCCACACUGGGACUGAGACACGGCCCAGACUCCUACGGGAGGAAGCAGUAGGGAAUCUUCCGCAAUGGACGAAAGUCUGACGGAGCAACGCCGCGUGAGUGAUGAAGGCUUUCGGGUCGUAAAACUCUGUUGUUAGGGAAGAACAAGUGCUAGUUGAAUAAGCUGGCACCUUGACGGUACCUAACCAGAAAGCCACGGCUAACUACGUGCCAGCAGCCGCCGUAA